rnacentral:rRNA from 1 species
AACGAACGCUGGCGGCAUGCCUAACACAUGCAAGUCGAACGAGACCUUCGGGUCUAGUGGCGCACGGGUGCGUAACGCGUGGGAACCUGCCCUUAGGUUCGGAAUAACUCCCCGAAAGGGGUGCUAAUACCGGAUAAUGUCUUCGGACCAAAGAUUUAUCGCCUUUGGAUGGGCCCGCGUUGGAUUAGCUAGUUGGUAGGGUAAAAGCCUACCAAGGCGACGAUCCAUAGCUGGUCUGAGAGGAUGAUCAGCCACACUGGGACUGAGACACGGCCCAGACUCCUACGGGAGGCAGCAGUGGGGAAUAUUGGACAAUGGGCGAAAGCCUGAUCCAGCAAUGCCGCGUGAGUGAUGAAGGCCUUAGGAUUGUAAAGCUCUUUUACCCGGGAUGAUAAUGACAGUACCGGGAGAAUAAGCACCGGCUAACUCCGUG